UUUCACUUGAACUCCUGAGAAAUUGAGAAAUAAUGUUAUUUGCGGCACAUUAAAGAGAACUCAGAGACGCUUGAAUGAAGCUGUGCGUAGAUUUGGUUCUUAAAGUUGAACUUGCAGUUAGAAUGCAGAUCAGCAGAAGCUGGUCAGCAUUAUCAAUUUCCUCCUGCUCUCAUUUUGGAAGUAUGUAUGUUAUGUGUGUGUGUAUUUGCUGUAAAAAGUUCGCUAAAAUUUCACAGCCGAAAAAUGAUCAAAGGAGCAUUUUCUACUACCUGUUAUCCAGUAAGUGGCAAAUGAAAAGAAACGAAUCUUAAAGUCGUUCUAAGUGCCUUUUAUUUUACAAAUACAAGCCAUUCAACAUAGAUAUAUGUAAUAAUUCUAAAUGCUAUUUGGCCUUUGUUUACCUCCGCCCUACCGCUUUCUCAUCGCUGUUUCUUCAAACGUCUGAAUUUGGGACAUCUUUUAAAACUAUGCCCCCGCCUCUCCCUGUCCUGAAGACUACACACACUCGAAGUCGCGCACACCAAAAAGAAUUGGUCACCGAGAGAAAGGGCGGCAACAGAUUUUAAAAAGAAAAAUAAGUCACAGGCAAUUUUGCCAUAGACAGUGGCAACGUAUCUACCAGCCUGUCUAUGACCCUCAAUAAACAUGUUCAGAAAUGGUGAAAAGGCUAGCGAAGCAGACUGUCAAACAAGAGACAGAAACGGGGCGGGGGGCGGGGGGCGGGGGUCUGAUGACCCGCAGCGGCUGCUUUAGAACCGGCUGGGCCGCCCCGGGCCGCAGCCCGCGCAGAAAGCUGCGCGCGCCCUUAGGACCUUUUGAACUCUGGCCGCUCGACAAAAACACCCUUUUGAAAAGGUGGCAUUCACUGGGCUGACAGAAUUAAGCAACACCAAAUUAAGGCGCUAAUAAAAAGCGCGUUGGGCUCAGAACUGCGCCUCUGGUUUUAAUCCCGGCGUUUUGGAUUAAUAUCAGGUGCUAAUUUCGAACAUUUAGGGCAGCUCUUCGGAGGAUAUAAAGAAGGGAACGGCAUAAUUAUUAAACUUUUUCUUUUAUGCUAGAAGAGCUGGGGGUGGGGGUGCGUUUCUUGUUAGGAGCACUCUGGUAGCAUUAAUUACGUGCAAAAGGAGUAAAUUUGAAGGCAAACACCGAAACAUCGCUCGGCCUUCCUCCAGGUCCUCUUGGGAACGGCGGGUCUGCGCGGGAGAAGGGAGGAGCGCUUUGCACGCAAAGGCGUUUUGCACCGGGAGGCCAGACCCCGCUCCCGGGGUGGCCCCAAGUCCGCGCCCAAAGAUUCCACCUGCCACCACUUGAGGGGAGCAGCAGCUGUGUUUUCUGAUGCCCCCCAUCUGCUGGAAGUUGUGCAGGACAGCUCUUGCUCUUCCUUUGGCAGGUCUUCUGUGUGUUUUGAUGGACCAUCCAUCCAUGUCAGGUUCACAAGGGCACGAAGUGCAGUAUAUAAAAAGAGGAUAAUGACUUGACUCGAGCGCAGGAAAAGGCCCAAUGAACAGCGCAGCCAAGCUUGCCAGGACUAGAAUAGAUGAAAGUUUGGAGAAGAGUCAAGAAGAAAUGGCUUUGUCUGCCUGGAGAAACUGCCCAUUUUAGAUACA
rnacentral:lncRNA from 1 species